AUCGCUGCUCAAGAUGGCCACCGCCCCACCGCCCGCCAACAACGAACAACGACGCGGUCGUUGCGUUGCGGUCAGUCGGUCGCUGCGCGCAAUCGAAAAAAAACAUCGCGGAGUGUUUCGGGUUUAUGGUCGUUGGCUUACAUGGUCUGAUAGUCCGGUCCCGGGUCCCGGUCGGACAGAGUCGUCUGUACAGGCAAGGACGGAACCCAGAUGACGACAAAACUAACCAGCUUCUAUAAGUGCUAUGUGCACGCGUGAGGGAGUGAGAAAUGAGAGAGAUGAAGUGUCGACGGCGCCAACAGGUUCACUUCGCGUGUGCACACAAUGAAUCGCGGACGCGGGGGCCGCCUUGUCGUCGCCCCACAAAAAGCCGUCAAACUGGUAAAGAGCCGCGAGCAAACUCCACGAGAAAGUACUAGCUCAAGUGAACAAAAAACGAGAGAGAGAGGGAAAGGGAGAUGGGAAAUCUGGUAUGCAGUGACCACCGCAACCUAUGGGAAGUACCAAAAGAGAGUUUUAGAUAUUACCUAGCUUAUUCCAUUCACGAAACUUCCAUACAAGUCCUCUCGUCUUUACUGAAUGAAUUUAUACGACAACUAUGAAUAGAAUUUGGGAGCAGAGGAAAUAAUGUUUCAUAAUUAUUGUGUUAGUAAGAUUACGAGUUCAAUGUUAUGACGCCGUAUGAUAUUUUCCUACAUAAAUAUUCAUCUUUGACAUUAUUUUGUUUCUCAAGUUUUUUCAUGUGAUGUAAAAAACGAUAAAAGUAGCAACCAUAAGAUUUUUCAUUCGUUAGAGUUUCUGCUUCAUCGACUGAAUUGAUGAUUUCUUGAAUCAAUAUCCAAAUCCUAAACUAUAACAGCCCUAAAAUUAAUAUUGUUCGAAGUAAUAUUACUCUUGAUUACAGAAACAUCAGCGAGGACAGAGAUUCAGGCUUGCGCCAAAACAGUUUAAAAAUUGCUUGAUUCCCGGUGACAAUUUUUUUCAUUUGCUAUCCGAUGAUAUUCAUACCCUAUUUAAUGUAAUUGGGAUUUUACCAGAAUUUUCUUGUGAAAGAAAUAAAGUCCUGGAUGUUAAGACUCCUGGCCAGCACCGAACAAAUAUCUUUCUUUCGCUCUCUCGUUCCUCCUCAAACAAGGUAAUCUAGACGAGAUGAAACGAGAGCUUUACUGUACACAAGCCUAAGUACAUUGGGAAUAUGGUUGGUAAUGUGUAAGAUAAGCACGCAGGUACACUAUGUGUGAUGUCCGAAGUAUCGAUCUUUGAUCGCGACCUCUCGAUCGCGCGACCCAAGCCAGGAUCGCUUUGAUGUCAUGACCUUAGCCAGUAUUAUUACCGCCAUAAAUCAUCCAUGUUGAAUUGCACUGUGGGGCUCGCGUGAUGAGAGCAUUACCCGAUGAGAGAGCGAGAGAGAGGGAGAAAGAUAGGAAGGAAGAGAGGGCGAGAAGAAGAGGGAAGCUUUCUUGAGAGACCACGUCGAAUAAUCCACCAGGUUGAAUCUGCGCAGGAUAUCUUCUUGCCGGGAUGUAAUACGCCAAGCGAAUCAUCGGGACUCCGGUGAAAGUCGACGAAACGCGCGGUUCUCGUUCUUUCUCCGUCUCUUUCGAGAGUUCACGAGCGAAAAGGCGCGAUAUAUCCUCGUUUCCAGGCUGGUUCUCUCGCAACGAGAUAUAUCUCACGAGGACCUCUCUCCCUCGCGUCGAGAUCUCUCGACACCCGGUUUUGUUUCGUAUUUGUGUACCGAUGGUGAUCACAAUUUACUGUGUAGUACGUCGCACGCGAGAAAUCAAAUUAAUUCCCCGCCCACCGUUACUCGUUCGUCGGGGCAAUCAACACGAUUACCGUAAUCGAGGAACAGGCCAGGCACUCUCGCGUACAAAUGCAUCCAGCAGCAGGAGAGACCCUGGCGCCCAUGGUUUCCCAUUUGACGCUCGAGCUGCCCACGCGGGACCGCGGUCCCUCAAUGUGGGACGUAAUAGUAUGCACUUCCCUCGUCUGCAUAUACCUUUUUUAUUGGGUGUAAGAUGAGUUCAAGGAUGUAUAAAAGUCCUUUCGCAUCAUCCUGACCUGUGGUGGGUAUGCCGCAUCCACUUUAUGAGAAUUCCAUCAGGAAUAGUUUUCCUCGGAAUAUCCACGUGAAAGAGUAGAAAAGUGAAACGGGAAGAGAGAGCGUGGAACGACGAUGACAGUACUGGCAAACCCUCAUAUCGUUUCUAUAUCCCACGGGUAACAGCGGGUUCACUCGAGCGUCCUGGGACAAGCGACCUCGACGGGUCUCUGGGAUAUGAUGUUCCUUCACCCUUUGUACGGAGAGCGGGUCAUUGGACGACCGGAUUAGCUGAACCGAGGUGACCGUGCCAAACGAGACCGGAAAAACAAUCUCACAAAUUAUGAGAUCCAACUGUAAAUACUUUCAUGCGGUAAGGAUAGUAAACGAAGGAAAAGAAUCAAUUUUCCUUUUCUCCUUGGCCUCCGAAAUGUCAAUUUUAUUCGAUAUUUAUUGUCGCUAUGAGCUGAGAUUGACGAAAACUGAUGGUCUGAAAAUUGAGGAUGCAGAAAAGCUGCAGUAACAUCGAGAUAUUUGAUUGAUGCGAGUGGAAUUCAGUAACGCAACGCUCGAAUCAAUGUCACGGCGCAGGGUUUACAACUCUUGGAGAAAAACUGCAUCCACGUGAACGACAGCACUGCGAUUGUACGCUACGGUUGGCUCACAAAUGUCCUUGGGGACGAGAAAACCUUCCGCCAUCGUGAAGAAGAUGUAGAUCGAUUGUCAACGUCAGAGCUUUCCUUUCUUUUCAGAUUCUCUACGUCUAUGCGAUUCUCAGAUCCCCAUUUCUUCCAUUUGCCUGCUCUCUCGCCCUUUUUUAUCUCCCUUUUACUCACUUUACUUCAGACUUACUUCCUGCCUUUCCCGCUAAACAAUUAUCCCUGCUAUCGUGGCGCGCAAGUUCGCAAGGUGCAAUCGACGAGGAAUAAGACCGGCCAAUUACCAUCUACGGCCCCGCACCAUCUGACCGUACUCCAAGCACCCGUAAUACAACUCUGCGGAUACAAAACUUUGUUCGUUCGCGCACCCGCGCGAAGAAUCGCAAUUGGAUUCACACUAGGCUACGUGUAUUUCGCGUUAAGCAAACUGCACACGCGGGGGCCUAGAGCGGUAGCAAACGGCUUGUAUAUGUUCACCGCAAGACGUGCGUGUAUAUAAUCGGGAGUUGGAAAUCGUAGUCUGUUGCUUUAUCGAUAACACCAUCCCCGGCAAUGAA
rnacentral:lncRNA from 1 species